CAUAGGUUGAAGAGGCGGUGUAGGUGGAAGCAGCAGUGGUGGAGGAGGAGGUAGCCAACACUGUUUAUAUAUAUAUAUAUAUAAUUUAUUUUAUUUUAUUUUUUGGGGGGGUAGCCCCCAAAAUAUUGGGACAUAUAAAAAAAAAAGACAACUCGGUUCCGCAGAGUCGCUGUUGACAUUAUAGUUGCACAGGCACUUUGUUGACUCUAGAGAACCACGGGCCAAUCGCACAUCCCCGUGACGGCGACUUUGCAUUCGGAUGUCAUCCAUAUCAACUUUCGAUGCCAGUUUCUGCGCCUAACAUGGUGACCACGGGUAACGGGGAAUCAGUGUUCCAUUCCGUACAGGGACCCUGAGAAACUGCCACCACAUCCAAGGAAGGCAGCAGGCGUGCAAAUGACCCACUCCCGACGCAGGAAGGUAGUGACGACAAAUAACAAUACAGGACUCUUUAGAGGCCCUGUAAUUGUAAUGAGUCCACUUGAAAUCCUUUAACUCUGAUCAGUUGGAGGGAAGUCUGGUGCAGAGCCACUGACCCGUGCGUGCUGCAGCUG
rnacentral:rRNA from 1 species